rnacentral:tRNA from 1 species
GAGGGUAUAGCUCAGUGGUAGAGCACGUACAAGGUCCUGGGUUCAAUCCCCAAUACCUCCA